rnacentral:piRNA from 1 species
ACUCCUCUUGUGUUUUGAAUGUGG